UACGUAGGGGGCGAGCGUUGUCCGGAUUUAUUGGGCGUAAAGAGCUCGUAGGCGGCUUGUCGCGUCGACCGUGAAACCUCACAGCUCAACUGUGAGCCUGCGGUCGAUACGGGCAGGCUAGAGUUCGGUAGGGGAGACUGGAAUUCCUGGUGUAGCGGUGAAAUGCGCAGAUAUCAGGAGGAACACCGGUGGCGAAGGCGGGUCUCUGGGCCGAUACUGACGCUGAGGAGCGAAAGCGUGGGGAGCGAACAGG
rnacentral:rRNA from 1 species